CGAGAGAAUUGCUAGCUUGCUAAUAAUUCUCUAGUGGCGCACGGGUGAGUAACACGUGAGUAACCUGCCCCCGAGAGCGGGAUAGCCCUGGGAAACUGGGAUUAAUACCGCAUAGUAUCGAAAGAUUAAAGCAGCAAUGCGCUUGGGGAUGGGCUCGCGGCCUAUUAGUUAGUUGGUGAGGUAACGGCUCACCAAGGCGAUGACGGGUAGCCGGUCUGAGAGGAUGUCCGGCCACACUGGAACUGAGACACGGUCCAGACACCUACGGGUGGCAGCAGUCGAGAAUCAUUCACAAUGGGGGAAACCCUGAUGGUGCGACGCCGCGUGGGGGAAUGAAGGUCUUCGGAUUGUAAACCCCUGUCAUGUGGGAGCAAAUUAAAAAGAUAGUACCACAAGAGGAAGAGACGGCUAACUCUGUGCCAGCAGCCGCGGUAAUACAGAGGUCUCAAGCGGUUGUUCGGAAUCACUGGGCGUAAAGCGUGCGUAGGCUGUUUCGUAAGUCGUGUGUGAAAGGCGCGGGCUCAACCCGCGGACGGCACAUGAUACUGCGAGACUAGAGUAAUGGAGGGGGAACCGGAAUUCUCGGUGUAGCAGUGAAAUGCGUAGAUAUCGAGAGGAACACUCGUGGCGAAGGCGGGUUCCUGGACAUUAACUGACGCUGAGGCACGAAGGCCAGGGGAGCGAAAGGGAUUAGAUACCCCUGUAGUCCUGGCAGUAAACGGUGCACGCUUGGUGUGCGGGGAAUCGACCCCCUGCGUGCCGGAGCUAACGCGUUAAGCGUGCCGCCUGGGGAGUACGGUCGCAAGAUUAAAACUCAAAGAAAUUGACGGGGACCCGCACAAGCGGUGGAGUAUGUGGCUUAAUUCGAUGCAACGCGAAGAACCUUACCUGGGCUUGACAUGUAAUGAACAACAUGUGAAAGCAUGCGACUCUUCGGAGGCGUUACACAGGUGCUGCAUGGCCGUCGUCAGCUCGUGUCGUGAGAUGUUUGGUUAAGUCCAGCAACGAGCGCAACCCCUGUUGCCAGUUACCAGCACGUGAAGGUGGGGACUCUGGCGAGACUGCCCAGAUCAACUGGGAGGAAGGUGGGGACGACGUCAGGUCAGUAUGGCCCUUAUGCCCAGGGCUGCACACGUACUACAAUGCCCAGUACAGAGGGGGCCGAAGCCGCGAGGCGGAGGAAAUCCUAAAAACUGGGCCCAGUUCGGACUGUAGGCUGCAACCCGCCUACACGAAGCCGGAAUCGCUAGUAAUGGCGCAUCAGCUACGGCGCCGUGAAUACGUUCCCGGGUCUUGUACACACCGCCCGUCACAUCAUGGAAGCCGGUCGCACCCGAAGUAUCUGAAGCCAACCGCAAGGAGGCAGG
rnacentral:rRNA from 1 species